rnacentral:rRNA from 1 species
UACGUAGGGUGCAAGCGUUAAUCGGAAUUACUGGGCGUAAAGCGUGCGCAGGCGGUUGUGCAAGACAGAUGUGAAAUCCCCGGGCUCAACCUGGGAACUGCAUUUGUGACUGCAUAGCUGGAGUACGGCAGAGGGGGAUGGAAUUCCGCGUGUAGCAGUGAAAUGCGUAGAUAUGCGGAGGAACACCGAUGGCGAAGGCAGUCCCCUGGGCCUGUACUGACGCUCAUGCACGAAAGCGUGGGGAGCAAACAGG